AGCGAACGCUGGCGGCAGGCCUAACACAUGCAAGUCGAACGAACCUUUCGGGGUUAGUGGCGGACGGGUGAGUAACACGUGGGAACGUGCCUUUAGGUUCGGAAUAACUCAGGGAAACUUGUGCUAAUACCGAAUGUGCCCUUCGGGGGAAAGAUUUAUCGCCUUUAGAGCGGCCCGCGUCUGAUUAGCUAGUUGGUUGAGGUAAUGGCUCACCAAGGCGACGAUCAGUAGCUGGUCUGAGAGGAUGAUCAGCCACAUUGGGACUGAGACACGGCCCAAACGACGGGGGGAGGGGGAGGGGAGGAGUGCGGCGGAAGGGGAGAAAGAGGGCGGCAGACUGGGGGGGAGAAUGAGGGAGGUUGUAGGGUAGUAAAAUGUUGUCGCGGGGAAAGAAGAGGGCGGUGCGGGGAGAAACCGCCCCGGUAAACUGGGGGCCAGACGGCGAGGUAAUAGGGCAAGACCACGCGCCUCAA
rnacentral:rRNA from 1 species